AAGGAAGCGCUUUGUCCACGUGGACACAAAGCGCGCCCUCAAGGAAGCGUUUUCUGUCCACGUGGACAAAGCGCUUCCUU
rfam:Gossypium raimondii chromosome 7, whole genome shotgun sequence.